rnacentral:rRNA from 1 species
GGUGAACGCUGGCGGCGUGCCUAAUACAUGCAAGUCGAGCGAACAGACGAGGAGCUUGCUCCUCUGACGUUAGCGGCGGACGGGUGAGUAACACGUGGAUAACCUACCUAUAAGACUGGGAUAACUUCGGGAAACCGGAGCUAAUACCGGAUAACAUGUUGAACCGCAUGGUUUAACAGUGAAAGACGGUCUUGCUGUCACUUAUAGAUGGAUCCGCGCCGCAUUAGCUAGUUGGUAAGGUAACGGCUUACCAAGGCAACGAUGCGUAGCCGACCUGAGAGGGUGAUCGGCCACACUGGAACUGAGACACGGUCCAGACUCCUACGGGAGGCAGCAGUAGGGAAUCUUCCGCAAUGGGCGAAAGCCUGACGGAGCAACGCCGCGUGAGUGAAGAAGGUCUUCGGAUCGUAAAACUCUGUUAUUAGGGAAGAACAAAUGUGUAAGUAACUAUGCACGUCUUGACGGUACCUAAUCAGAAAGCCACGGCUAACUACGUG